ensembl:miRNA gga-mir-12287 gga-mir-12287
UGGGGGUGCAGGUGGGGGGCUUAAGUCCAAGGGGUGUCUUCACUCCCCCCCACUGUGCCCCCAGG